UCUCUCUCUCUCUCUCUCUCUUUCUCUCUCUCUCUCUCUCUCUGAGGGUGUAUGUGAUUGUGUGCAAACCAUUUGGAAUUAUUAGAUUUUACUUUGUAUGAAUUGAAUUCAUUUAUUUAAGAGUCAAAAUCAGCAAGCAUCGAGCAUUUUGUGAAAAAUAUGGAAAGUGACAUAAAAACAAUAAUGAUAAAAACACAUAUAAAGAUAAUCAGAAUGAAUAUUGUAUUAAAAAUAUUUGGGUAAUUUUUUUUAUUCGUGCUGUUACUAUGGAAACCACGUGCUUUUAGACUGACUGAUUUGUACUUCAUUUUAACAUGAAAAUUUUUGUAUAUACAAAUACAAUAUUAUGUUAAAUCAUCUUAAAACUCUAUCAAUAAUUUUUUAUACUACAACACACAUUGCUGUAAUUUAAACAUCAUUAAGAAUUUACAUUUACUUCAUCCUUUGAUAUUUAUACCCGUUUUAUCUUGUUAAUUUUGCAUGCAAACACCAGUCAAUUCAGUGCACUUUUAUAAAAUUCUACAACCAUGUCAAGGUUAACUAACACUACAUAUUUAUAUUAUGACAUUUGUUCUAGAAGAAUCAAUUAAAAAAUCUUUAGGCAAGUCACCCGUUUAUAAAUAAAUACUGAUUUUAUACACCUGGAAACGUGCAAGUUUUACUCUAAAUACCUCCCUUUGAUAUUACUCUCUUACGAAAGGAGGUAAAAACGGUAUUUUGUUUACAUUGUUUACAUCCAAUAUUUCUACGGAGCUGAUUUGAGACGACUAUGGAUUUUAGUUUCUGGAUUAUAGAAGUGUUUAUUUAGUUCAUUAUCAUGAUAACUUAGUGGGUUGUAAACAGAAAAUGUGUCACAUGCAAGCCAAAUGAAUCAACUUAAAUGAGGAUGGACACUAAAAUCUACCAUGUCUACACAAAAAUUAAAAUAUCCAUACCAGACAGAUCAGAGACAAUGCUUGAAAUAUUUAAAUUUUGCAAAAGAAGAGGAUGAAAGUGCACUUGAAAAAAAAAACCCAGACCAACAAAUACUAUAGUUGACAAGGGAUGAUUUUCUUUAGCAGAAUUUCUUUCAUCCUUGAAGAUAAACAGCUAUGUUAGCCACUUUGCUCCACAGAAAAGAAGAGCUGGCUUUCAACUAAAACUGAAAAUCUUAUCAAAUAGAAUUCAAAAUUAUAUAUAAUUAUAUAUAGGGAUAUUUGGGUUAAAUACAAUGGUACAAACAAGUAUUUUCUGAACUAUUUCAAAGCAAAUGUGUGCCUGACUUAUACUCUGUCUAUUUUUGAAAAUAAGAUGUGUUCAUAUGUCAAUGCUGAUGCAUAAUGAUUUAUUACCACUUGAUCAUUUGAGUUGUUGAAUUAUUUUCAGUGAAAAUUAUUACAAUUAAUGAUGGUAAAAAUUAAAGUUGAUAUUCAUAA